rnacentral:tRNA from 1 species
UGCGGGGUAGUGUAGUAGUAACACGCGGGUCUCAUAAGCCCGAGUCCUAGGUGCAAAUCCUAGCCCCGCACCCA